AAAGAGAACUUUCACUACGUAUCCUUACCACACAGGUUAAAGGCACUCAACAAUCAAUCAUAUUGUCUUUGCACCUAGUCUAAAAACAUUCAACUGUAACACACCAAUUAAUGGUUAUGAUCAUGACAAUCAACAGUUAGUCUUUGCACAACUUUCAACAUAAUUUAAGUCUGAUGAUUAUAAAAAUGAUAUAAAGGAUGAAUAAAAUAAUAAGAAUAAUAAGAUCAAGAAUAAAU
rnacentral:lncRNA from 1 species